AUACUCUGGUUUCUCUUCAGAUCGUAUAAAUCUUUCGCCUUUUACUAAAGAUUUCCGUGGAGAGGAACAAUUCUGAGUUGUUACCCAAUUUUUUGAGGUCUCGUUUUUUAACGAGACU
rnacentral:snRNA from 1 species